GAUGAACGCUGGCGGCGUGCUUAACACAUGCAAGUCGAACGAGAAGUGCAGACGGAAACCUUCGGGCGGAAGGCUUUAUUUCGAGUUGCGGACGGGUGAGUCACGCGUUGGUAUCCUGCCUCAUACAGGGGGAUAACAGUUGUAACCGACUGUUAAUACCGCAUCAUACCACAGCACCGCAUGUUUCGGGGGUAAAAACUCCGGUGGUAUGAGAUGGACCCGCGUUCGAUUAGCCGGGUGGCCGGGUAACGGCCCACCAAAGCGACGAUCGAUAGCUGAUCGGAGAGGAGGACCGGCCACAUUGGGAAUGAGACACGGACCAAAAUCGGACGGGAGGGAGGAGUGGGGAAUAUUGCACAAUGGGGGAAAACGUGAUGAAGCGACGCGGCGUGAGAGAAGAAGUAGGUCGGUAUGUAAAGCUGUAUGAGAAGGGAAGAAAAUGACGGUACCGGAGAAAGAAGCCCCGGCUAACUACGUG
rnacentral:rRNA from 1 species